rnacentral:lncRNA from 1 species
AGUUUACUUCCCCAGGUACGUGACCUUCAAAUACAUUCCUUACAAUACUUGAAUAGAUACCAAUACAACUAUAACCAUUAACUCAUAAUACACACUUAUUCAAUCAGCUUUCCUUUUCCUUUGUUCGUGCCUGAGCCUUCAGGUUGCUCAUACAUAACUGAAAACAUUUAAUUUAAGCAAGGAUGAGCAUUUAAGUGCCCAGCAAGUAAUAGCAAUUAUAUAUAAGCUGAAAGAAUAUAAGUAUUCUCUUUACAUAACACUUCUACAACGAAUUGAAAGUUGUGAAGUAAUCUGUACUGAUAAAAAAUUCACAUAACAACUCUCUUUCAAAUUCUUUAAAUUUGGCUCUGGCUCUACCCUUGAAUAGGGUUUAAGAAACAUACUAUGAACAUUCUUUUCAUUUUCGAAAAGGUUUAGCGGAAUUCUAUCCUCAAACCGUCAUAACUUACGGGCACGGAGGGUGAUCAGCCCCGUUGUACCCUGUAUUGAUCAAUACUACAUAACUUGAACGAAAUUCAUCGCUCACUCUAUCCGCCUUGCGCAAAAAUCUUCCCAUAUAGGGAUGUUCAUACAUGCCUGGUUCCAAACCCGAAGGUUUUUAAUCUUGCUCAACAAUAAUAUGUAAUUCAACAUAUAUAUACGGGUAAUUGACAAAGGUGUAUCAACAUGUGAACAAAUGCCAUGAUUAUCCAAGUGGGGACACUUGUAUAACCAUUUAUAGAAAUCAAUGAACAGAAUAUAUAUCUGAGCUAACAUGUCGAUAAUCAAAGAGUACAUAAUCUGUACAGGGAUAGAAUAAUUCUGAAACUUCUUACUCAUGUCCAUUGCAUAAAGGAAGUGCAAAGGUAGGAUACUUGCCUGAUUCGCUGAUUACAAAUCUCAACUUAGGUUUUAUCUCUUUAUCACAACCUAUCAAUAAUCAGAUCAUUCGUUCGAUUAGAACAAUAUAUCUUAACACAUAGUACUGUCUAUUACAGUCAGCACAUAGUCUAAUCACAUAAUCACAGUGAUCAUACUUUUAGUUCCUAUUCUAUACUUGAAAUAUUUUUAUACAUUUUUCAAAUAUCUCAUCCAUGCUCUUACAGUAGUCUUUUCUUUCUUUUAUAAGGUCUGACAUUUGUCGGCGUACCGACAGCUUUAUCGGGUAAAUACUGAGUCUAAGACUCUUAUUCUAUACCUCAACAUCUGUAAAUAUCAGACAUCUUAUUUUUAAUCAUUUUCGCAAUUUCCAGAAAUUGAAAAAUUUAAAAUAAUUCAAAUCUGUCACUAAAGGGCCUAUAGUGAUAUAACUGUUACUAUAGGUGUUCUUCUUCAAAUUCAGAACUUCAUAAUCGGUUCUCAAGUCAGCUAGUUUGGCCGGCUAUAACUUUCAAAUAUCGGAAUCAUAAUUAAAUGAUUUAAACAUUAAACAAUUCCAUUAUCAUUAAUAGUUUAAUUAAUACUAAACUAUUAAUGAAACCAUUGCCAAAAUAUAAAAGUUAUUUAUAAUAACUCAAACUAUUUUUAAAACAUUUAUAUUACCCAAAUAAUUACCAUUAAUAUUUAAAUAUUAAUGUACUAUUUAUCCAAAUAUUAAAAGUCAUUAAUUAUAACUUAAAAUAUUUUUAAAUCCUUAAUAUCCUCUUUAAAUGGUUUUUAAAUAAGUAAAACCAUUUUUAAACUAUUUAUUUAAUAUUAAUCAUUAAAUAAACUAAAUAUCAUUAAUAUUAUCUUAAUAUCAUUAAUAUUUAAUUAUUAAUGAAAUUAUCAUUUAAAUAUUAAAAGUUAUAUUUUAUAACUUAAAAUAUUUUUAAAUACCUUAUUUUCAUUUAAAAUGAUUUUUAUAAUAUUAAAAUCAUUUUUAAACUAAAUUAUUUAAUAUAAUCAUUAAAUAACUUUAAUAUCAUUAAUAAUUAUUAAUUAAUGAAAUUCAUCACAAAAUAUUAAAAGUCAUCACAAAUAACUCAUUUACAUAAUCAAUUCCAAGCCAAAAUAAACAUAGUAAACUAACUAGUUUAUUAACAACACUAACUAAACUUCAAAAAUUCAAACUUUAACUAACAAUUAAAAAUAAUAACAUUACAAAAAUUAAAUAAGAAACAUACCCGGAAAUACGAAUUCCACAGACUGAAUACGCACUUCCACGCCAAAAUUUAACUAAGGAGAUCUUUAUAAAAAGUUCUCCCACAACAAAGCCUUUCUCAAAAAUUGGAGGCC